GUGCUUGCUUCAACAGCACAUAUUAAAAUUGGAACAUUACGAAGAUUAGCAUGCCCCUGCACAAGGAUGGGGAUAUUAUUGUGGUUAAAAAUUCAU
rnacentral:snRNA from 1 species